rnacentral:rRNA from 1 species
AGUGAACGCUGGCGGUAGGCCUAACACAUGCAAGUCGAACGGCAGCACAGUAAGAGCUCGCUCUUACGGGUGGCGAGUGGCGGGCGGGUGAGGAAUACAUCGGAAUCUACUUUUUCGUGGGGGAUAACGUAGGGAAACUUACGCUAAUACCGCAUACGACGUACGGGUGAAAGCAGGGGAUCUUCGGCCCUUGCGCGAUUCAAUGAGCCGAUGUCGGAUUAGCUAGUUGGAGGGGUAAAGGCCCACCAAGGCGACGAUCCGUAGCUGGUCUGAGAGGAUGAUCAGCCACACUGGAACUGAGACACGGUCCAGACUCCUACGGGAGGCAGCAGUGGGGAAUAUUGGACAAUGGGCGCAAGCCUGAUCCAGCCAUACCGCGUGGGUGAAGAAGGCCUUCGGGUUGUAAAGCCCUUUUGUUGGGAAAGAAAAGCAGCAGGUUAAUACCCCGCUGUUCUGACGGUACCCAAAGAAUAAGCACCGGCUAACUUCGUG